rnacentral:rRNA from 1 species
CCUACGGGCGGCUGCAGUGGGGAAUAUUGCGCAAUGGGCGAAAGGCUGACGCAGCGACGCCGCGUGGGGGAUGAAGCAUUUCGGUGUGUAAACCCCUGUUGCUCGGGACGAACAACUGGAUUUUUCCAGUCUGACGGUACCGGGUGAGGAAGCACCGGCUAACUCCGUGCCAGCAGCCGCGGUAAUACGGAGGGUGCGAGCGUUGUCCGGAAUCACUGGGCGUAAAGGGCGCGUAGGUGGUCUGCUAAGCGUGCGGUGAAAGCCCGGGGCUCAACCCCGGGUCUGCCGUGCGAACUGGUGGACUAGAGCACUGUAGAGGCAGGUGGAAUUCCGGGUGUAGCGGUGGAAUGCGUAGAGAUCCGGAAGAACACCGGUGGCGAAGGCGGCCUGCUGGGCAGUUGCUGACACUGAGGCGCGACAGCGUGGGGAGCAAACAGGAUUAGAUACCCCUGUAGUC